GAUGAACGCUGGCGGCGUGCCUAAUACAUGCAAGUAGAACGCUGAAGGAGGAGCUUGCUCUUCUGGAUGAGUUGCGAACGGGUGAGUAACGCGUAGGUAACCUGCCUGGUAGCGGGGGAUAACUAUUGGAAACGAUAGCUAAUACCGCAUGACAACAGUUAUUGCAUGAUAACUGUUUAAAAGGGGCAACUGCUCCACUACCAGAUGGACCUGCGUUGUAUUAGCUAGUUGGUGAGGUAACGGCUCACCAAGGCGACGAUACAUAGCCGACCUGAGAGGGUGAGAGGCCACACUGGGACUGAGACACGGCCCAGACUCCUACGGGAGGCAGCAGUAGGGAAUAUUCGGCAAUGGACGGAAGUCUGACCGAGCAACGCCGCGUGAGUGAAGAAGGUGUUCGGAUAGUAAAGAUCUGUUGUAAGAGAAGAACGAGUGUGAGAGUGGAAAGUUCACACUGUGAAGGUAUCUUACCAGAAAGGGACGGCUAACUACGUG
rnacentral:rRNA from 1 species